rnacentral:rRNA from 1 species
AUAGCUUUAGGGCUAGCCUCGAGGUAAAGAGUCAUGGAGGUAGAGCACUGUUUGGACUAGGGGCCCUUCUCGGGUUACCGAAUUCAGAUAAACUCCGAAUGCCAUGUACUUAUACUCGGGAGUCAGACUGCGAGUGAUAAGAUCCGUAGUCGAAAGGGAAACAGCCCAGACCACCAGUUAAGGUCCCCAAAUAUAUGUUAAGUGGAAAAGGAUGUGGGGUUGCUUAGACAACCAGGAUGUUGGCUUAGAAGCAGCCACCAUUGAAAGAGUGCGUAAUAGCUCACUGGUCGAGUGACCCCGCGCCGAAAAUGUACCGGGGCUAAACAUAUUACCGAAACUGUGGAUGAACCUCUUUAGAGGUUCGUGGUAGGAGAGCGUUCUAAGGGCGGUGAAGUCAGACCGGAAGGACUGGUGGAGCGCUUAGAAGUGAGAAUGCCGGUAUGAGUAGCGAAAGAAGGGUGAGAAUCCCUUCCACCGAAUAUCUAAGGUUUCCUGAGGAAGGCUCGUCCGCUCAGGGUUAGUCGGGACCUAAGCCGAGGCCGAUAGGCGUAGGCGAUGGACAACAGGUAGAGAUUCCUGUACCAGUGCUAAUUGUUUAACCGAUGGGGUGACACAGAAGGAUAGGGAAUCGCACGAAUGGAAAUGUGCGUCCAAGCAGUGAGUGUGAGAAGUAGGCAAAUCCGCUUCUCGCGAAGCAUGAGCUGUGAUGGGGAAGGAAAUUAAGUACGGAAGUUCCUGAUUUCACGCUGUCAAGAAAAGCCUCUAGGAAGAGUAGUACUGCCCGUACCGCAAACCGACACAGGUAGAUGAGGAGAGAAUCCUAAGGUGAGCGAGAGAACUCUCGUUAAGGAACUCGGCAAAAUGACCCCGUAACUUCGGGAGAAGGGGUGCUCUAUUAGGGUGCAAGCCCGAGAGAGCCGCAGUGAAUAGGCCCAGGCGACUGUUUAGCAAAAACACAGGUCUCUGCAAAACCGUAAGGUGACGUAUAGGGGCUGACGCCUGCCCGGUGCUGGAAGGUUAAGAGGAGUGCUUAGCUUCGGCGAAGGUACGAAUUGAAGCCCCAGUAAACGGCGGCCGUAACUAUAACGGUCCUAAGGUAGCGAAAUUCCUUGUCGGGUAAGUUCCGACCCGCACGAAAGGCGCAACGAUCUGGGCACUGUCUCAACGAGAGACUCGGUGAAAUUAUAGUACCUGUGAAGAUGCAGGUUACCCGCGACAGGACGGAAAGACCCCGUGGAGCUUUACUGCAACCUGAUAUGGAAUGUUUGUACCGCUUGUACAGGAUAGGUAGGAGCCGAAGAGACGUGUGCGCUAGCAUACGAGGAGGCAAUGGUGGGAUACUACCCUGGCUGUAUGACCAUUCUAACCCGCCACGCUUAGCGCGUGGGGAGACAGUGUCAGGUGGGCAGUUUGACUGGGGCGGUCGCCUCCUAAAGAGUAACGGAGGCGCCCAAAGGUUCCCUCAGAAUGGAUGGAAAUCAUUCGCAGAGUGUAAAGGCACAAGGGAGCUUGACUGCGAGACUGACAAGUCGAGCAGGGACGAAAGUCGGGCUUAGUGAUCCGGUGGUUCCGCAUGGAAGGGCCAUCGCUCAACGGAUAAAAGCUACCCCGGGGAUAACAGGCUUAUCUCCCCCAAGAGUCCACAUCGACGGGGAGGUUUGGCACCUCGAUGUCGGCUCGUCGCAUCCUGGGGCUGUAGUCGGUCCCAAGGGUUGGGCUGUUCGCCCAUUAAAGCGGCACGCGAGCUGGGUUCAGAACGUCGUGAGACAGUUCGGUCCCUAUCCGUCGCGGGCGCAGGAAAUUUGAGAGGAGCUGUCCUUAGUACGAGAGGACCGGGAUGGACACACCGCUGGUGUACCAGUUGUUCCGCCAGGAGCAUCGCUGGGUAGCUAUGUGUGGCAGGGAUAAACGCUGAAAGCAUCUAAGCGUGAAGCCCCCCUCAAGAUGAGAUUUCCCAUUUCUUCGGAAAGUAAGAUCCCUGAAAGAUGAUCAGGUAGAUAGGUUUGGAGUGGAAGUGUAGCGAUACAUGGAGCGGACAAAUACUAAUCGAUCGAGGACUUAACCAAAA